rnacentral:lncRNA from 1 species
CCGGCGUUUGGGUCGCCGGUGGGUUUGUCCCAACAUUUGGUAUCAUGAGCUUGAUGGUCUUGGGCAUGCUCGCCGUGCCGGAGGCGUACCGGCGAUGACGGUGGUCGCCGGCGGCUGCGCGGAGCUCCGGGCCAUAUGUCGGCAUGUUUGAGGUGCGUGGCGUGGCGACUGUCAUGGCGGACGCGGAGGCGGCGCACGGUGAGUCCGCGUGGAGCAUGACGGACGAGAAGUCCUCGGUGGUGCGGCUACGGAGCGCUGCGAGCGCAUGGCGAUGGCGACGGCGACCUCCGUCGAGUCCGGGUUUGGUGGCGGUACACGGCUUCGACCAGACGAUACGUUGCUGCGUGCACGGAGGCACGUGGUUGUGUCGGGCGGAGAUGGCUGUGGUGACGACUACGGCGUGAGCUGCAACGACGACUACGGUGGGUGCCGCAGGAACACCAGCGACGACAAGUCAAGAUUACGGGGUGAUUGUUAGGAUAAUCAUGACUUUGAUUUGGUCUUGAAUCAGUUGGUUAGCAUAGAGGUUAGU